CAGGUCUAGCUGCAUCAAUCUGGGGCUGAGCUGGUGAAGCCUGGGAUCUCUGUGAAGAUGUUAUACAUGGUUUCUGGUUAUACAUUUACUGAAUACUACAUGCCCUGGUCAAGCAGAAUCAUGGAAAGAUCCUUGAGUGGAUUGGAAAUGUUAAUAUUUACAAUUGUGGUAUAACUACAAUAAAAAUUUCAAGGACAAGGACACAUCAACUGUAGACUAUUCCUCCAGUACAGCCUAUAUGUUGCUUGGCAAAGUGACAUCUGAGGAUUCUAAGGUCUAUUACUGUGCAAGA